AGAGUUUGAUCCUGGCUCAGGAUGAACGCUAGCGACAGGCUUAACACAUGCAAGUCGAGGGGCAGCGGGAUUGAAGCUUGCUUCAAUUGCCGGCGACCGGCGCACGGGUGAGUAACACGUAUGCAACCUGCCCGUCACAGGGGAAUAACCGGAAGAAAUUCCGACUAAUUCCGCGUAACACCGAAGUGAGGCAUCUCGUUUCGGUCAAAGGAGCAAUCCGGUGACGGAUGGGCAUGCGGCGCAUUAGCUAGUCGGCGGGGUAACGGCCCACCGAGGCGACGAUGCGUAGGGGUUCUGAGAGGAAGGUCCCCCACACUGGUACUGAGACACGGACCAGACUCCUACGGGAGGCAGCAGUGAGGAAUAUUGGUCAAUGGGCGGGAGCCUGAACCAGCCAAGUCGCGUGAGGGAAGACGGCCCUACGGGUUGUAAACCUCUUUUGUCAGGGAGCAAGAACAGGCACGCGUGCCUGACUGAGAGUACCUGAAGAAAAAGCAUCGGCUAACUCCGUGCCAGCAGCCGCGGUAAUACGGAGGAUGCGAGCGUUAUCCGGAUUUAUUGGGUUUAAAGGGUGCGUAGGCGGACUGCCAAGUCAGCGGUAAAAUUGCGGGGCUCAACCCCGUCGAGCCGUUGAAACUGGUGGUCUUGAGUGGGCGAGAAGUACGCGGAAUGUGUGGUGUAGCGGUGAAAUGCGUAGAUAUCAGGAGGAACACCGGCGGCGAAGGCGGCCUGCUGGACCGUAACUGACGUUGAGGCUCGAAAGCGUGGGGAGCAAACAGGAUUAGAUACCCUGGUAGUCCACGCCGUAAACGAUGAUUACUAGGUGUCGCGGAACGAAGUUCUGCGGUGCCGUCGCAAACGCAAUAAGUAAUCCACCUGGGGAGUACGUUCGCAAGAAUGAAACUCAAAGGAAUUGACGGGGGCCCGCACAAGCGGAGGAACAUGUGGUUUAAUUCGAUGAUACGCGAGGAACCUUACCCGGGCUCAAACGCGUCAGGGAUCCCCUUCGAAAGGAGGGGAGUCAGCAAUGACCUGGCGCGAGGUGCUGCAUGGUUGUCGUCAGCUCGUGCCGUGAGGUGUCGGCUUAAGUGCCAUAACGAGCGCAACCCCUACCGACAGUUGCUAACUGGUGAAGCAGAGGACUCUGUCGGGACUGCCGGCGCAAGCUGCGAGGAAGGCGGGGAUGACGUCAAAUCAGCACGGCCCUUACGUCCGGGGCGACACACGUGUUACAAUGGCAGGUACAGCGGGAAGCCACCGGGCGACCGGGCGCGGAACCCGAAAACCUGUCUCAGUUCGGAUCGGAGUCUGCAACCCGACUCCGUGAAGCUGGAUUCGCUAGUAAUCGCGCAUCAGCCACGGCGCGGUGAAUACGUUCCCGGGCCUUGUACACACCGCCCGUCAAG
rnacentral:rRNA from 1 species